UACAGAGGUCUCAAGCGUUGUUCGGAUUCAUUGGGCGUAAAGGGUGCGUAGGCGGCGCGGUAAGUCGGGUGUGAAAUCUCGGGGCUUAACUCCGAAACUGCAUUCGAUACUGCCGUGCUUGAGGACUGGAGAGGAGACUGGAAUUUACGGUGUAGCGGUGAAAUGCGUAGAUAUCGUAAGGAAGACUAGUGGCGAAGGCGGGUCUCUGGACAGUUCCUGACGCUGAGGCACGAAGGUCAGGGGAGCAAACGGG
rnacentral:rRNA from 1 species